rnacentral:rRNA from 1 species
UACAGAGGGUGCGAGCGUUAAUCGGAAUUACUGGGCGUAAAGCGUGCGUAGACGGUUAUUUAAGUCGGGUGUGAAAGCCCCGGGCUCAACCUGGGAAUUGCAUUCGAGACUGAAUAGCUAGGGUGCGGUAGAGGGAAGCGGAAUUUCCGGUGUAGCGGUGAAAUGCGUUGAUAUCCGAAGGAACACCGGUGGCGAAAGCGGCUUACUGGGUCUUUACUGACGCUGAUGCACGAAAGCUAGGGGAGCAAACGGG